UACGUAGGUGGCGAGCGUUGUCCGGAUUUAUUGGGCGUAAAGCGCGCGCAGGCGGUCGCGUAAGUCUGCUGUGAAAUCUCCCGGCUUAACCGGGAGGGUGCGGCGGAAACUGGAGUGCUUGAGGGUGGGAGAGGUAAGCGGAAUUCCUGGUGUAGCGGUGAAAUGCGUAGAUAUCAGGAGGAACACCUGUGGUGUAGACAGCUUACUGGACCACUUCUGACGCUGAGACACGAAAGCGUGGGUAGCAAACAGG
rnacentral:rRNA from 1 species